rnacentral:rRNA from 1 species
UACGAAGGGGGCUAGCGUUGCUCGGAAUCACUGGGCGUAAAGGGUGCGUAGGCGGGUCUUUAAGUCGGGGGUGAAAUCCUGGAGCUCAACUCCAGAACUGCCUUCGAUACUGGAGAGCUUGAGUCCGGGAGAGGUGAGUGGAACUGCGAGUGUAGAGGUGAAAUUCGUAGAUAUUCGCAAGAACACCAGUGGCGAAGGCGGCUCACUGGCCCGAUACUGACGCUGAGGCACGAAAGCGUGGGGAGCAAACAGG